GAUGAACGCUGGCGGCGUGCCUAAUACAUGCAAGUCGAGCGAACAGAUGAGGAGCUUGCUCCUCUGACGUUAGCGGCGGACGGGUGAGUAACACGUGGAUAACCUACCUAUAAGACUGGGAUAACUUCUGGAAACCGGAGCUAAUACCGGAUAAUAUAUGGAACCGCAUGGUUCAAUAGUGAAAGACGGUUUUGCUGUCACUUAUAGAUGGAUCCGCGCCGCAUUAGCUGGUUGGUAAGCUAACGGCUUACCAAGGCAACGAUGCGUAGCCGACCUGAGAGGGUGAUCGGCCACACUGGAAGUGAGACACGGUCCAGACGCCUACGGGAGGCAGCAGUAGCGAAUGUGCGGCAAUGGGCGAAAGCCUGACGGAGCAACGCCGCGUGAGUGAUGAAGGUCUUCGGAUCGUAAAACUCUGUUAUUAGGGAAGAACAAAUGUGUAAGUAAAUAUGCACGUCUUGACGGUACCUAAUGAGAAAGCCACGGCUAACUACGUG
rnacentral:rRNA from 1 species